rnacentral:misc_RNA from 1 species
AUAUUUGACUUAAAAUUCAAAUCUCAACACCAACAUGGGAUCUCCUCUAGGGUAACUUAGUCUUGCUUGCAUACCAAGAGCUAAGUGAAUUAACAGACAAUGACAUGACUCAGGAAACACCUACUGACCAACUAGACCUUACCUUCACUAGACAGGAACAAGACAUUAGAACUGCAAUCAACGCAAAAAAAUUAAAAAAAAGAAAAGAAAAAA